CCUACGGGCGGCUGCAGUAGGGAAUAUUGCUCAAUGGGGGAAACCCUGAUGCAGCAACGCCGCGUGGGGGAUGAAGUUUUUCGGAUUGUAAAGCCCUUUUGUCAGAGAAGAUAAUGACGGUAUCUAACGAAUAAGCACCGGCUAACUACGUGCCAGCAGCCGCGGUAAUACGGAGGGGGCAAGCGUUAUCCGGAAUCACUGGGCGUAAAGGGCGCGUAGGCGGGAAAGCAAGUCUGAUGUAAAAUCCCGGGGCUUAACCAUAGAACUGCAUUUGAAACGGUUGUUCUAGGGGAUGGGAGGGGAAGGGGAAUUCUUGGUGUAGGGGUAAAAUCCGUAGAGAUCAAGAGGAAUACUCAUUGCGAAGGCGACCUGCUAGAACAUAACUGACGCUGAUGCGCGAAAGCGUGGGGAGCAAACAGGAUUAGAUACCCUUGUAGUC
rnacentral:rRNA from 1 species